UACGAAGGGGGCUAGCGUUGCUCGGAAUUACUGGGCGUAAAGGGCGCGUAGGCGGAUAUUUAAGUUGGGGGUGAAAUCCCGGGGCUCAACCUCGGAAUUGCCUUCAAAACUGGAUAUCUUGAGUUCGGGAGAGGUGAGUGGAACUCCGAGUGUAGAGGUGAAAUUCGUAGAUAUUCGGAAGAACACCAGUGGCGAAGGCGACUCACUGGCCCGAUACUGACGCUGAGGCGUGAAAGCGUGGGGAGCAAACAGG
rnacentral:rRNA from 1 species